CUCCUGGGUUUAUGAUUCCACAAUAAAUUGUCUAAGAAACCGUACGAGUGUAAUACGGACCGCUAGGGUUUGGAAGUAGUGAAGAUGGUAAUGGUAAUUGAAUGAUUUUGCUUUUCUCACACAACCUCCUCUUCACUUAUACAGAUUCAUCACUAUAACUCAAACAUCAAUUAUAGUUAUUAAUCUCUUGCCCUUCAACUGUACCUUCUCCAUGCCAAUUUAAUGCUACAGGCGACUGAAGGCGAUAUCGAUUCGUUUCCCCACAUGCAAUUCAAUCGACCCAUCUUCUAUUGUUCGCUUCCUAGAAAACCCAAAACUCAAUCGCUGCACAAAUUACCGGAGAUACACCGUCUCCGAUUGAAAGAUGAUAAGGUGAAUUAGCAUCUUGGUUUCUUGAGUUCUUUUAGCAGGUGGGAAAGUAGAAUUUAUGCUGAGGCUAGACGGUAUGGGGAGCGUCCCCCACCCGUCUAGCACCGGCGACGAACCAAACACCGUGCUGGGCACCCCCGUCGUCGUCCUCAGCAGCGAGAUCUGGACGAUUGAGACGAUCCAUGUGAGGACAAAAUUCUCUCAUUUCUCAAUGCAAUAAAUUACAUAUGCACAAUUAGGUGUUUGUUUUGUGUUUGUGUGUACGAAGGUGUGAAGAAGAAGGUGUAAACUGAGAUGCGAAGAAGAAGAAGGUCCAUUUGUAGAGAUUCAGUUGAUGAAAGAACCAUUUCCAAGCUAUUGCUUGGAGAAAGUACGACGAGGAAAUGAAGCCUGCAUUACUCUUGCUAUCUUCAAUGCAAUUACACAUCUUUUUGGUGAGUAAAGAAUAGAUCGCUGCUGCACCAUUUUCUGAGG